AUUGAACGCUGGCGGCAGGCCUCACACAUGCAAGUCGAACGAGUGGCGGACUGGUGAGUCAUGUCUGGGAAACUGCCUGAUGGAGGGGGCUAACUACUGGAAACGGUAGCUAAUACCGCAUACCAUUGGAUGAGCCCAGAUGGGAUUAGCUAGUUGGUGGGGUAACGGCUCACUUAGGCGACGAUCCCUAGCUGGUCUGAGAGGAUGACCAGGCACACUGGAACUGAGACACGGUCCAUACUCCUACGUGAGGCAGCAGUGGGGAAUAUUGCACAAUGGGCGCAAGCCUGAUGCAUCCAUGCCGCGUGUAUGAAGAAGGCCUUCGGGUUGUAAAGUACUUUCAGCGGGGAGGCGUUACCCGCAGAAGAAGCACAGGCUAACUCCGGGCCAGCAGCCGCGGUAAUAC
rnacentral:rRNA from 1 species